CGUAGGUGGGAUCUUAAGUCAGCGGUGAAAGUUUGUCGCUUAACGAUAAAAUUGCCAUUGAAACUGGGGUUCUUGAGUAUGUUUGAAGUAGGCGGAAUGCGUGGUGUAGCGGUGAAAUGCAUAGAUAUCACGCAGAACUCCGAUUGCGAAGGCAGCUUACUAAACCAUAACUGACACUGAAGCACGAAAGCGUGGGUAUCAAACAGGAUUAGAUACCCUGGUAGUCCACGCUGUAAACGAUGAUUACUAGUUGUUUGCGAUACACAGUAAGCGACACAGCGAAAGCGUUAAGUAAUCCACCUGGGGAGUACGCCGGCAACGGUGAAACUCAAAGGAAUUGACGGGGGCCCGCACAAGCGGAGGAACAUGUGGUUUAAUUCGAUGAUACGCGAGGAACCUUACCCGGGUUUGAACGCAUUGGGACCGGGGUGGAAACACCCUUUCUAGCAAUAGCCCUUUGCGAGGUGCUGCAUGGUUGUCGUCAGCUCGUGCCGUGAGGUGUCGGCUUAAGUGCCAUAACGAGCGCAACCCUUAUUGUUAGUUACCAGCAUGUAAUGAUGGGGACUCUAACAAGACUGCCGGCGUAAGCUGUGAGGAAGGUGGGGAUGACGUCAAAUCAGCACGGCCCUUACAUCCGGGGCGACACACGUGUUACAAUGGCGAGGACAAAGAGCCGCUACCUAGCGAUAGGAUGCUAAUCUCCAAACCUCGUCUCAGUUCGGAUCGGAGUCUGCAACUCGACUCCGUGAAGCUGGAUUCGCUAGUAAUCGCGCAUCAGCCAUGGCGCGGUGAAUAC
rnacentral:rRNA from 1 species